rnacentral:rRNA from 1 species
UACGUAGGUGGCAAGCGUUGUCCGGAAUUAUUGGGCGUAAAGCGCGCGCAGGUGGUUCCUUAAGUCUGAUGUGAAAGCCCACGGCUCAACCGUGGAGGGUCAUUGGAAACUGGGGAACUUGAGUACAGAAGAGGAAAGUGGAAUUCCAAGUGUAGCGGUGAAAUGCGUAGAGAUUUGGAGGAACACCAGUGGCGAAGGCGACUUUCUGGCCUGUAACUGACGCUGAGGCGCGAAAGCGUGGGGAGCAAACAGG